rnacentral:tRNA from 1 species
GCAUCCUUAGCUCAGUUGGUAGAGCAGUUGACUCUUAAUCAAUUGGUCGGGGGUUCGAGUCCCCCAGGAUGCACCA